rnacentral:rRNA from 1 species
GAUGAACGCUAGCGGCAGGCUUAACACAUGCAAGUCGAGGGGUAGAGGAAGCUUGCUUCCUUGAGACCGGCGCACGGGUGCGUAACGCGUAUACAAUCUACCUUUUACAGAGGGAUAGCCCCAGAGAAAUUUGGAUUAAUACCUCAUAGUAUUUUCGGAUCGCAUGAUUUGAUUAUUAAAGUUCCAACGGUAAAGAUGAGUAUGCGUCCCAUUAGCUAGAUGGUAAGGUAACGGCUUACCAUGGCAAUGAUGGGUAGGGGUCCUGAGAGGGAGAUCCCCCCACACUGGUACUGAGACACGGACCAGACUCCUACGGGAGGCAGCAGUGAGGAAUAUUGGACAAUGGGCGCAAGCCUGAUCCAGCCAUGCCGCGUGCAGGAUGACGGUCCUAUGGAUUGUAAACUGCUUUUGUACAGGAAGAAACACUCCCUCGUGAGGGAGCUUGACGGUACUGUAAGAAUAAGGAUCGGCUAAACUCCGUGCCAGCAG